AAUACUUCGCCCCAUGUAACACCCCCUCCUAGGUAUGGAGGGGAAGCUAAGACAUGCAGAGGUUUUAUUAAUCAAAUAGAAUUCCACCUUGAGAUGUAUCCACAUUCCUUUCCCACUGAUAGGUCUAAAGUGGGGUUUUUGAUGCAUCAACUUACUGACAAAGCACUUGAGUGGGCAAAUCCUAUUUGGGAGGCCAAUGGACCUAUGGUGCA